AGAGUUUGAUCAUGGCUCAGAAUAAACGCUGGCGGCGUGCCUAACACAUGCAAGUCGAGCGAGAAAGUUCCUUCGGGAGCAAGUAAAGCGGCGGACGGGUGAGUAACGCGUGAGAAUUUACCCUUUAGUGAGGAAUACCUCUGAGAAAUCAGGGCUAAUACUGCAUAAGUCCCUACGGGGAGAAAGGUGGCCUAUUUGCUGCCGCUAAAGGAUAAGCUUGCGGGCUAUUAGCUAGUUGGUGAGGUAAAGGCUCACCAAGGCGAUGAUGGCUAGCCGGCCUGAGAGGGUGUACGGCCACACUGGAACUUAGACACGGUCCAGACUCCUACGGGAGGCAGCAGUGAGGAAUAUUGCGCAAUGGGCGAAAGCCUGACGCAGCGACGCCGCGUGGAGGAUGAAGGUCUUCGGAUUGUAAACUUCUGUUAAGUGGGAAGGAAGAUUUAUCCCUAAUAUGGAUAAAGGAUGACGGUACCAUUAGAGAAAGCACCGGCUAACUUCGUG
rnacentral:rRNA from 1 species